AGUCGUCUGACGUCCAUCACCACCACUCUGUUCCCUAAGGGCAGUCGUAGUGUCGUACCCAGAGACAUGCCACUCAACAUCUUUGUCAAGAUCAUACAAUUUAUAGCCCAGGAAAGACUCGAUUUUGCCAUGAAGGAGAUCAUCUUUGACCUGCUGUGUGUCGGGAAGCCUGCCAAAGCGUUCAGUCUCAACCCAGAGCGUAUGAACAUAGGUCUGAGGGCCUUCCUGGUCAUAGCUGAUGCCCUGCAGCAGAAGGAUGGGG